ACGGCCAUACCAUGCUGAAUAUACCGGUUCUCGUUAGAUCACCGAAGUCAAGCAUCAUUGGGCGCGGGUGACCACCUGGGAACACCGCGUGCCGUU
rnacentral:rRNA from 1 species